rnacentral:lncRNA from 1 species
GACUCAAGCCUUGUUUCACACUAAAUUUGGUCUGCCAGACAUCCAAAAAAAGAUCACAUCAGUCAUUCUGCUUCAGAGCUGGUUUCUCAGCAUGGAAAAUUACAUUUCCUACAUGUAGCUAAUGCAUGAAAAGCUUGAAAGGUCAAAAAAUGAAGCCAUCAAUUUAUCACAAAAAGUAAAAUAUUUAUGGUAAAGAAGGAAGACAAAUUGCCCCCUCCUUAUUUCACUGCUGGAAUUGCCAGUUGAGAGCAAGAACAGUGCCCUUAGGGGGAAGAAUAACAAGAAAUGUUCCAGUGGUGUAAACACGCAUCCAGCCAACCCAAGGACCAACUCCAACUCGCUCAUCCCCACGUUGAAGCAUCCUACUGACUCCAGGCCUCAGGAAUCAAUGCCAGGCACUCACCUCCUCUGUAUUUAUUUCUAUAAAACACACACAACUUGUUGCUCAUAUUCAAGAAUAAAUUGUUCAGGGAGCAUAUCUACACAUAUGUAUUCUCAGGGAAGCAAUUUCUGCUGGUUUGGCUAGAUGAACUUCAGUACCACCUGCACAAGAAAUUCCUCUGUUCCCCCAUUCUCAGACAAACUUGAAGAAAUCCAGUUUUCACAAAAUUCAGAGGAGAAAAAUCGGAGCUGCUCCACAGAGUGACAAUCCACGGCUGCAGGAGCCAGGACACCAGCCAGCAGGCUGGAAAGCAAACAGCCCGCUGUCGGCAUCGCUGCUUCCCUGGAGAUCAUCACAUAUUCUACGGAAAUCUCCAAAGUAAAGGAGAAAAGCCCUGGUGAUGGAAUGAACCUGCCAGAUGAGGAAGCGUCUGGGCACACACCAUGGACAGGGAUUACUGCGGGACCCGCUGUUCAAAAGAACAAGCCUCCUCCGAAAGCAAGGCAGCAGCACAGACAAUGGUCCCUCCAAGGGCAGAGCUGCUAAGGAAUAAAGGCGCUGGUGG